GGCCACAUGGCAGCACAUAUACUAAAACUGGAACAAUAUAGAGAAGAUUAGCAUAGCCCCUGCACAAGGAUGGCACACAAAUUUGUGAAGUGCAUUCCAUAUUU